GUCUGAACUCAGAUUGUCACAAAGAUAUUCAGCAAAAAACACUACAAUACCUGGAUGAUCACAGUCAAUCACAGAAAACACGGCCAAACCAAGAAUUGGAAAAACCAUGAGAAAAUUUGAUUGGGGACAGAAAAAAGAG